CCCAGUAGAUGGUGGUAAUGCACCUUUAAACUGACUGUCAACCAACAAUAGACUCAAAAGAAAGAGAAAAAACCCUGCUGGGACUUGGAGUUUGAAGUUAAAGAGCGCUUCUUUGUCCACACAGUUUUGAAGCUCUGAUACUCUCCAGAACAUCACUAAAAUCUCCUGAUUCUUUACAGCUCUUAGAAUGAAACCCAGAAGGAGCUCUUUAGGAAAAUCUCCACACACUCUUGCUGAUACUGGAUCAAAGGAGCAAGAAGUGUUAAGACCCCAAUGGCAGUUGGCGUGUGCUUAGUCUGGUGUCCUAAACUACAGCCCUGGAUCAAGGAUCU